GGCGCAGCAGUCGGGAAUAUUGCUUAAUGGGCGCAAGCCUGAAGCAGCAACGCCGCGUGUGCGAUGACGGCCUUCGGGUUGUAAAGCACUUUUAGGUGGGAAGAGGAAGGACGGUACCACCUGAAUAAGCCUCGGCUAACUACGUGCCAGCAGCCGCGGUAAAACGUAGGAGGCGAGCGUUAUCCGGAUUUACUGGGUGUAAAGCGCGUGCAGGCGGUUCGUUAAGUUGGAUGUGAAAGCUCCCGGCUCAACUGGGAGAGGUCGUACAAGACUGGCGGACUGGAGUGUGGUAAGGGAAGGUGGAAUUCCGGGUGUAGUGGUGAAAUGCGUAGAUAUCCGGAGGAACACCAGUGGCGAAAGCGGCCUUCUGGACCACAACUGACGCUCAGACGCGAAAGCUAGGGUAGCAAACGGGAUUAGAUACCCGAGUAGUCCA
rnacentral:rRNA from 1 species